CCAGGUGUAAGUCAAUUGGUAGACGGCUGCGUUUGGGGCGCAGAAGCUGGGAGUUCAAAUCUCUCCACUUGGACCA
rnacentral:tRNA from 2 species